rnacentral:rRNA from 1 species
CACGUAGGGCGCAAGCGUUGUCCGGAAUUAUUGGGCGUAAAGAGCUCGUAGGCGGUCUGUUGCGUCCGCUGUGAAAACCCGGGGCUUAACCCUGGGCUGGCAGUGGAUACGGACAGACUAGAGGUAGGUAGGGGAGAAUGGAAUUCCCGGUGUAGCGGUGAAAUGCGCAGAUAUCGGGAGGAACACCGGUGGCGAAGGCGGUUCUCUGGGCAUUACCUGACGCUGAGGAGCGAAAGCGUGGGGAGCGAACAGG